GCAUCGGUGGUUCAGUGGUAGAAUGCUCGCCUGCCACGCGGGCGGCCAGGGUUCGAUUCCAGGCCGAUGCA
rnacentral:tRNA from 1 species